UGUUGCAUGAUAUGAUACUUUAGUUAUCAUCCCAAUGUCCAGCCUUAACUCAAUUGUUGAUGCCAAAAUAAUAAUCGAUAUUUUGUGAUUGUACAAAAUACCACUUUCACUUGAAUAUUUAUAAUAUAUAUGUGUGUAACCGACAAGUAGUACAUUAAGCCAAAGCCUCAAUUUAAAACAACACGCUAAAACAUUCAUUCCCGUGCAUGCAUCGGAUGUCUCGUCUGCGAUUAUUGCAAAAUAUUUCGACUUUCAAAUGCCUCCUAGAAGAAUAUUUUUUUAGUUUCCGAGAAAGGCAUCAGGAGCGGGAAGAUGCAUCACCCACCUUGUUGGACGAAGACUAGACUUAAACUAGUUUAAGGGCAUGCGUUUGCUCGGCAUACAACACGAAAAACUGUGCUUAUGUUAAUUGUUAACUAUGAUUUAAUAAUAAAUGGGCAAAAUAAAUGUCUGAUGCCCUUUAUUGUUGAUGUACUGUUUACUUUUUGCAGAACAAUAUAUCAUGCAACAAUGGUUUAGUGAUGGGUCAUACUCAACAGCUUUAGCAAUUUGGACCUCAUCAACCAACAGAAUACAGCAAGAGCGCUCGUGGGGUUGAAGUCCAAGAAUUGUAUCUGUAAAACCAAAAUUAGCACCAACACAGCUUUUAAAACUAUUAACCACCAACCCAUUAAUUCCAGUUGCAUAGCGUAUUUUAAGAGCUGUUAAGACUGUUUCAUCCGACCCCUGAUUGCCUUUGGAGGCGUGCCUAUGCUUCAGUGUUUCCAACUGGUCUUUAUUAAAGCAAUUUUGCAGAUUUGUUUGCAUGUUAUUAAUUUGUCUUUUGAGUUGUUGCACCUAAACAUGGAAAUAUAUUUUAAUACCACCACUUGUAAACCUGAAACGUAAAUAAACAACCUCUACUUGAAAUUUUAAACAGC